rnacentral:rRNA from 1 species
UACGAAGGGUGCAAGCGUUACUCGGAAUUACUGGGCGUAAAGCGUGCGUAGGCGGUUUGUUAAGUCUGUCGUGAAAGCCCUGGGCUCAACCUGGGAAUUGCGAUGGAUACUGGCAAGCUAGAGUACGGUAGAGGAUGGUGGAAUUCCCGGUGUAGCGGUGAAAUGCGUAGAGAUCGGGAGGAACACCAGUGGCGAAGGCGGUGGCCUGGACCUGUGCUGACGCUGAGGCGCGAAAGCGUGGGGAGCGAUCCGG